UGGGGAAUAUUGCACAAUGGGCGAAAGCCUGAUGCAGCAACGCCGCGUGAGGGAUGACGGCCUUCGGGUUGUAAACCUCUUUUAGUAGGGAAGAAGCGAAAGUGACGGUACCUGCAGAAAAAGCACCGGCUAACUACGUGCCAGCAGCCGCGGUAAUACGUAGGGUGCAAGCGUUGUCCGGAAUUAUUUGGCGUAAAGAGCUCGUAGGCGGUUUGUCGCGUCUGCUGUGAAAUCCCGAGGCUCAACCUCGGGUCUGCAGUGGGUACGGGCAGACUAGAGUGUGGUAGGGGAGAUUGGAAUUCCUGGUGUAGCGGUGGAAUGCGCAGAUAUCAGGAGGAACACCGAUGGCGAAGGCAGAUCUCUGGGCCAUUACUGACGCUGAGGAGCGAAAGCAUGGGGAGCGAACA
rnacentral:rRNA from 1 species